rnacentral:misc_RNA from 1 species
AAGAUGGUGGAUCGUAUAAGAAAGUUUCAGAUUCUGAACAAUCAAAUCUUCGCAGUUUUGAACAAAUACUUAAAAACAAGUGACUCUGACAGUAUCCCAGUGGAACACGUGCGCUGCUUCCAGCCGCCAAUACACCAGUCGCUAGCAACAACCAUAUAAUGGCAACAUCGGGAUUUAUAUCAACCGCAGUUAACCACUGAAAUAAGAUACUAGUUUUCAAUAGUAUUCUUAAAUGUUUCUGUCGUUUGACGUGUCGGACAUUUUAUUUUAAAAAAGACCAUUGAAGAAGGCAGCAAAGUGAGCACAAGUCAACAGAGGGGGUACCAGUUUACAGCAUAAACCCAACAGCGUGCAGAGAAAUAGUUGUGUUGUCUUCCCUAUAUAAAAGUCUUCUAUCCUUACAAAAAAAAGUGCUGAACAAUUGAAGGAUUUUGUGAUUAUGAUAUAUGUAUAACUUGACACCAAGUGACGUAAUAAAGUGAUAUACUAUUUGUGUAUUGCAUGCUCUGUAAACGUGUACAAUUUUUAUACAAACUAGACAACCGGUAAUCAACCAUGUGUAAUGAUAUAUGAUAACGAAAUAAAAUCAUAAAUAUA